UUUCCGUAGGUGAACCUGCGGAAGGAUCAUUAUAGAGUUCAUGCCCUCACGGGUAGAUCUCCCACCCUUGAAUAUUUAUACCUUAGUUGCUUUGGCAGGCCGUGGAAACACCAUGGGCUCCGGCUUAUGCGUGCCUGCCAGAGGAAACAAACUCUGUUUUUAGUGAUGUCUGAGUACUAUAUAAUAGUUAAAACUUUCAACAACGGAUCUCUUGGUUCUG
rnacentral:misc_RNA from 1 species